AUAAUUAUUAAAGGUGAAGUGUGUCAUUUUUUUUUUUUUUUUUUAUGUCACUAGUGGUAGCAAAUGGAAUUGCAGUCUCUUUGUGUGGCCAGAUUAGGCUGCAAAUAGCAGUAGUUUUGAGCUGGAAACCAGCUUGGCUGUACAAUGGAAGAUGGGGAAGUAUUAGAAACUUGUACAUUUCUGUUUGGAGAUGCUUAUGGCCUAGAUAUUAUAAACUUACAUUUUGAUAAUAAAUUGUGAAAUAGAAAACACUUGAAAACAGAAGGAAGCACUCUUCCACAGAAGGAAGAAAAUCAUAUGAGUUUGGAAUGAAAUGAUGAAAUGAACUUCUUUAACUGGGUCACUGUAGACUUGAACUACAACUUUAACUCUUUUAAUGAAUCUUUUUUUUUUUGUCUUUUAUGUGAAACAGGAUCAAGGUACCUGACUCUAACAGGCAUAUACACAGUUUGGGCUGGCCAGAAAACAUCCCAGCUGAAGUAAGAGCGCUCCAGUCAAUAAGAUACACAGACUGAUCCGUUUCCAAGGAGCCAAGGGGAAAGAGUCACCAUGGAUACGCAGGUCUACAACAAUAAAGUCCAGCUUGACGCCGGAGUGUGACCACAUGCUUUGACAAGAGCACCAAGAGCACAUUAUGUGUCCGGAGUGGAGCGCCGAGGGCUUCCCGGGCUCUGAUUGACCUGCCUAGACUAAUCUUUCAAAAGAGGGUUUAAGGACACAAGGAGUCUAUUCCAGUUCAACUCAACGACUACAUUGGAUCCAAGUAGACUGUAGUACAGGUGCUACUAUUGUUGCCGGUCGUCUCCCCGCACGUUUGGUCUGUGGCCUGGCCCGGCCGCUCGCUCUCUGACCACAGGGUUUAAUCUGUCAGCUGGGCGGCCGCACCUCAUGUGUCAGCGCACAUCACAUGGCUUGUCAGAAAAACACGCCGAUGCUGCGUAUGGCAUUCAGAGCUCACCUUGAAUAAAAUCACAACGGGGAUUGAGGGUCUGGGGUUUUUUUUCGGACCGUUCACCUUUUGUGCUGAGUGUCAGCUGUGACACACCCUCCAUUGUGCCGCCUCCCUGGGAAACACCAGGCCGGGAUCCGCUGGGCUGCUGUAACAGGUGAGCACCCCUGUAAUCCAGCGUGCCCGCUCUCAUCCCCUGAGCCAAUGAUUCGGCAGCACAGCCAAUAAAAUAACAGAGAUAAUCCACCUAUGGAAAACAUGCGUCUGUGUGCCUGUGAGAGCAUGUGCACGCGAUGCAGGGGGUGGGGUAAACAUUUCCACAAGGACCAAACAAACUGCCAUGCUUUAUUAACAACUGUAAGAGAUUGUGAAGGUUUAUAUUUAGCAGGUGAUCAUGAACAGUGACGUGGAAGCUCAUGCAGCACAUGACAAUUGUGCUGCUGUCAUAACCCAGAGAAGGUCAUGAAGGUCCCUAAUCAAUGAUCCUUUAUAACAUCUAUAGGAGGAUGUACUGAAAUAAAGGAUAAUCUAAUUCAUCAUGA